UUUCUGCAAAACCCUAAUCGGCGAAUCCUCUACUUAGCAACCCUAACCGGCGAUUCCUCUACAAAGCAACCUUAAUCGGCGAUUCCUCUACAUGGAGAUUCGAUGAAACACAGAUUCGAUGGACACAUGGAGAUUACCAAUUCGAUUCGGGUCUCUUGAAACGCAGAUUCUAUAUCCGAUUACCCCAAUUGUCUCGAUCUUGAUCUCUGAGAUUUUGGAAUGGCAAUAAGCAAUAUAUCUAAUUCGCUUGCGUGUUCGUGUGGCUGAUAUGCAUUGUGAACAGUGUUUAUGCGGCUUCUAAUUCACUUGUGCAAUUGGAGAAUGAGUGGUUAGUCCUUUCUACCUUAUUAUGUGUUUUUUAUAUAUAUCAGAUUUCUUACGGGUUACCUUAAAUGGUUUCUUAUAUGGUUUGGAUCCGUAUCAAGAUUGGCACCCUAUCACCUUCUUCGUUCUGAUUUCAACCCAAAUAGCAGGUACCCAUCUUUAAUUUCGGUAAAUUGGUUACAGUUUUUUCUUCAAUAAUGUUUUCUUUCAUUUUGUGAGGCUCUAGCCGAGAUGUUUAUGUCUUUUAAUUUGUUUUCACAUGGCAAGCGGUUUUGUUUGUGUUUAACCUGAGAUGAUUUUGAGAUUAUAGGUUGUGUGUGUAGAUUGUUGACAUUUCUGAACCUCAGAGUUUAUAUAGGAUGAUGAGUUUCAUUGAUUUUGUUCCUAUUUUAGUCGAUUUGUUGACGGAUGAAGCAAUGGUCGGUCAAUUUGUAGACUUAUGGUAUUGUAGCCGAGAUGAUAAGUUGUUUGACUUUCUUUCAACAUGGUAGCUGUGAUUUUCUAUUUUCGGCCUCAUAGUAUGGCGAUUCUGAUUUGUUUGUGGUGGUGGCAGCGUUGAUGUGGUCGCCGGACUGAUUAUUCACCGGUGAUUCUUUAUCGGCUUUUUUAUUACAAGUUCGUGUAUUCUUUAUGUUUGGCGGUUGUCAUUGGCAGCUGUUAGGUGUUUGACAUGUUGAUAAUCAAACGCUUUCAACUGUUUUGUUGGGCAUUUUGGUAAUUUACUGGUGUUGGUCUUGCUGGUUACUCCGCAUACAUAGUUGAUUUCUUUGGUUCCCUACAACGGUGAAGCUUGUGGUAUUGUCAUCGAUUUGUCGGUGGGGGGGAUUUUUCAUCAUUUAGGAUUUGUGAUAUAGGCUAUGAUGAGUCAAUAUAUUUGAUUUUAAAGUUGAUGAGAAUAUCGCCUUGGCAUGGUAGGGUUGAAGGAUGGCAGGUCAUUACCUGCAACCUUCCCUGCAGCCAUGAUGGUAUCCUUCUUUUCUAGACUCUGAGCCUGUAGAUACCAUAUUUACCAUAACGAAUCUAUCUGGUCAUGCCAUAGAUAUGUGGACAGCGGCGGAGAUAAGUUAGAUUUGAUUAAGCGUUUCUUGAUUCUACCGAGUUUUGCACGGUAUGUUCUUUGUUUGAUUAUAAAAAAACGCAGAUUUGGAGGAUCGACGGAGAUUUGUGCAGGCAUAUUUCAGCUCUGCAGGUGAAUGUCUGAAAACUUGGAUAAUGGAAGCAUGGAGUGGGUGUUCUCACAAGAAAAUAGUUGCAGCAUCAGCAGCCACAGCCUUUUGGAAUCUGACUUCCAUUAAAACCUGAAUUUUCGCAGCAUUCAUAAGUUUGGUGAUCUUUAGAUGGUGUAGACAAGAGUGACAUGGUCUAAAAAAGAAGACCUUGCAGCCCAGAAUGAUUUGGUUUAAGAUGUGUCCCCGCUGCAACGCGCGGACACCAAACUAGAAGGAGGUGACCAUGAUUAUGAUGAGCAAAGUCAUGCUUAAUGUGUGCAUGAACAACUUUGCAGAGAAAGGGGGGUUGUUGGAAUAUUUCAUUUUGGUAGGCGUAUGAGUUAUGAAAUAAUGUAAUUUGUGAAGCAUUUAACCAGUGGUGAAUGGUGGAUAAUGUUUCCAUGCGUGUUGGGUUGCACUAUGAUUCUUUGCUUGACGUAUUUUAUAAGAUAUCAAAACUCUGU
rnacentral:lncRNA from 1 species